rnacentral:rRNA from 1 species
UGGGGAAUAUUGCACAAUGGAGGGAACUCUGAUGCAGCGACGCCACGUGAACGAAGAAGGCUUUCGAGUCGUAAAGUUCUUUUAUAUGGGAAGAUAAUGACGGUACCAUAAGAAAAAGCCCCGGCUAACUACGUGCCAGCAGCCGCGGUAAUACGUAGGGGGCUAGCGUUGUCCGGAAUCACUGGGCGUAAAGGGUUCGCAGGCGGAAAUGCAAGUCAGGUGUAAAAGGCAGUAGCUUAACUACUGUAAGCAUUUGAAACUGCAUAUCUUGAGAAGAGUAGAGGUAAGUGGAAUUUUUAGUGUAGCGGUGAAAUGCGUAGAUAUUAAAAAGAAUACCGGUGGCGAAGGCGGCUUACUGGGCUCAUUCUGACGCUGAGGAACGAAAGCGUGGGUAGCAAACCGG